UACGUAGGUGACAAGCGUUGUCCGGAUUUACUGGGCGUAAAGAGCGCGCAGGCGGUCGAUCAAGUCGAGUGUGAAAGCCCCCGGCUCAACUGGGGAGGGUCAUUCGAUACUGAUCGACUCGAAGGCAGGAGAGGGUAGUGGAAUUCCCGGUGUAGUGGUGAAAUGCGUAGAUAUCGAGAGGAACACCUGCGGCGAAGGCGGGUUGCUGGGCUGACACUGACGCUGAUGCGCGAAAGCUAGGGGAGCGAACGGG
rnacentral:rRNA from 1 species